UACGUAGGGUGCAAGCGUUAAUCGGAAUUACUGGGCGUAAAGGGCUCGUAGGCGGCCAACUAAGUCGGACGUGAAAUCCCUCGGCUUAACCGGGGAACUGCGUCCGAUACUGGAUGGCUUGAGUUCGGGAGAGGGAUGCGGAAUUCCAGGUGUAGCGGUGAAAUGCGUAGAUAUCUGGAGGAACACCGGUGGCGAAGGCGGCAUCCUGGACCGACACUGACGCUGAGGAGCGAAAGCCAGGGGAGCAAACGGG
rnacentral:rRNA from 1 species